GCACUGUUGCGGAGUGCCACAAUAGGACGAAACGGCCGUCCAGUGC
rnacentral:hammerhead_ribozyme from 1 species